rnacentral:rRNA from 1 species
UACGUAGGUGGCAAGCGUUGUCCGGAUUUAUUGGGCUUAAAGGGUGCGUAGGCGGCUUUGUAAGUCAGUGGUGAAAUAUGGCAGCUCAACUGUCAAGGUGCCAUUGAUACUGCAGAGCUUGAGUACAGAUGAGGUAGGCGGAAUUGACGGUGUAGCGGUGAAAUGCUUAGAUAUCGUCAAGAACACCUAUAGCGAAGGCAGCUUACUAGGCUGUAACUGACGCUGAGGCACGAAAGUGUGGGGAUCAAACAGG